AUUAUGAAGAUAGAAAUUUGAGAAGUUCAUUCCUAAAGGUUCCUAAUUGUUCAAUGGAUCUAGUAUUAUAGUUCAAAUCGUUGUACUCUUUACAAGCCUGGUAAAGCAGAUUUUGCUUUCCCCAGUUUGUGUUCGGCUUACAGAGGUAUAUAUCAUCUCUGCCUCUUGUGUUAUAUAAAUUAUUAGUUCCAGGCAGUUCGAGAUUAAAC